CGAAGCUGCAAUCGCUUAAUUAAUCUGCUUUAAGUCAACACUUGACUACGCACGUUCCUGAUGCUAUCGUCUGCUUAUAAUUGUUCAUAUUUCCAAAGUUAGAAUGUGUUUCGGUGAGGGUCAAUAAAUAGCUUUAAUGAGGAACAACACUGCCCCACCGGUACUCAAAAUGUGUUGCCGGGGGCUACUUUAUAUUUAAUCAAGAUCUAAUUAGAUGGAGAUAUGUGAUAUUUCAUGUGAAUAAGCGCCUCUCCGCGUUCACUGCGUUUAUUUUAAGACUCCUUUGGUUUCUCCGAUCGUUGAGCAACGGUACCGCCACCGCCCUGAGGAUGUCGCCCUUCUCCACUCAUUGUGCAGCAGUACCGGCAAUGCCCUGAAGGUGUCGCCCUUCUCCACUCAUAGUGACGCAGUACCGCCGUCGUCCUGAGGGUGUCGCCGUCGCUCCGAUCUAGAGGCGCUCUCCUGCUGGCGGCUCAGCGGAGAAGAGCAGCAGACCGACCAGAUGUAGAAACAGUUGGCGACACUGCCCCCCCUCCUCGGUCGUUGCCUUGACAUCAGUUUGCAUUCCGCCGCGUCUCUGUGGUUGUAAUUGUCCGCGUUUAGAAUGUGAGUGAAUAUGAUCGCCUAUCUUAAUUAACGAACGAACCAAAUGAUUGAUCCUAAAGUGUGUUUGUAGGACGCUGAAAAACCCUAAUGAAGUAAUUAACGGAAGACAGUUCCCCAGCCACUCGGGGAUAAUUGGAAAAUAAUAAGGAGCCAUUGUUUCAGGAGCCAAUUAGACCUGCUAAUAUUUGACAUUAAAAACUUAUGUAAAUUACCUCAGUUUGCUUAAGUUGAAAAUCGGAACUCCCACGUGCUUCGUUUGGAGGCUGAACCCACGCACUGGUGGGGCGCGCUUGCCGUGCGCCCUCGAGAACUAAUAAUCAAACGGCGGCAGCUGCGCGCCCACGCAGGGCCACGGUGCACGCGCUCUCGAUCCAGGUGCCGUAAAUAGCGCGGGAGAAACGCGCCGUGACGAGGUUAUUGUCGGCGCUGUCUUUGAUGAUGUUCAGGCUUCAGUCGGAGAGCGGAGUGAAGGAAGUUCGGGAAGAAAGUUGUGAAAGGGAAAUGUGUUCCGAUUUGAGCUUUCAGACACUGGCGUGCAUCACUCCUCGGGGGGCCAGGGCCCCCCCACAGAGCGACGUCACCGUUCAGAAUAAGAGGGAGUAUCCCCCACCACAGCAGGUGUUGAAUGGGGGCGAAGACAAUUCUAUCUGUAAUUCAUCAAAUUACGAAUCAUGAUUCAUAAUUAAUCAGAAGAUUAUUAUCAUUUCAAAAUGUUAACCCAAAGUGUCGAUGAAUAUGUGGAUAGCUGAACAACCAGAAAUGAAGGCGGUCUUUAUGAAUAAAACGUCUCCAGCGAUCUGCUGCAGCUCACGAGAGGAACACACCACAUUGACAUGAUGCGUUGGGCUUUCCUCGAGGAAACAACGAGCAUCAGAGUCACGUCUGUUCGUCUGGCGUCUUGGAUCCAACUUAACGCCCCGACCGUGUGAAGGUCCUCUGUGUGUGUGUGUGUGUGUGUGUGUGUGUGUGUG
ensembl:lncRNA